CGCCAGCCCAGUUGUUUCUGUGGUGGAGGGCCUUGCUCGUGUGUUCCGGUCCUCUGCUCGGCUUUCCCAAACGUUUCCACGCGGGCGCCAACUGCCAGCGGAGAGGCGCGGCGUCGAGCCGAGCUAGGCUGAGGAAACCGCCGCCGCCGCGCGCGCCCGCCCAGAGCGUUAGUUGGUCGACGCGCAGCCGCGGGCCCAGGGCCGAGUCUCCAGGGCCAUGAGUUACGGCCGCCCGCCUCCCGAUGUGGAGGGCAUGACCUCCCUCAAGGUGGACAACCUGACCUACCGCACCUCGCCCGACACCCUGAGGCGCGUCUUCGAGAAGUACGGGCGCGUCGGCGACGUGUACAUCCCGCGGGACCGCUACACCAAGGAGUCCCGCGGCUUCGCCUUCGUGCGCUUCCACGACAAGCGCGACGCCGAGGACGCCAUGGACGCCAUGGACGGCGCCGUGCUGGACGGCCGCGAGCUGCGCGUGCAGAUGGCGCGCUACGGCCGCCCGCCGGACUCGCACCACAGCCGCCGCGGCCCGCCUCCCCGCAGGUACGGGGGCGGCGGCUACGGACGCCGCAGCCGCAGCCCGAGGCGUCGCCGCCGCAGCCGCUCCCGCAGCCGCAGCCGCUCCCGCUCGCGGAGCCGCUCCCGCUACAGCCGCUCCAAGUCACGCUCCCGCACGCGCUCGCGCUCACGCUCGACGUCCAAGUCCCGCUCGGCGCGGAGGUCCAAGUCCAAGUCGUCGUCGGUGUCGCGGUCGCGCUCCCGCUCCCGCUCGCGGUCCCGGUCGAGGAGUCCGCCGCCCGUGUCCAAGCGCGAGUCCAAGUCCAGGUCGCGGUCCAAGAGCCCGCCCAAGUCCCCGGAAGAGGAGGGAGCCGUGUCGUCCUGAGCGAACGCUGCGGUCUCCUGUUUGGUAACAGACUGUGGGCCGGUUUUGCAGACUUUAGCUGGUUUGGCUGAUCCUCGGGGACCAGGUUCUGUGGGCGUGUGUUGGAGCAGAUGUGUCCGCGCGCGGCGUAGCGGAGGCCGUGGGGAGGACCCGCACCCAGUCCGCCGGAGAGUCCUUGGAGCGAGCAGCUGGCUACCGAAAGGUUAUUUUGUAACAUUUGUCUAACUUCUUACUUGUUUUAAGCUUUGCCUCAGGCGGCAAACUUCAUUUUAUGUGCCAUUUUGUUGCUGUUAUUCAAAUUUCUUGUAAUUUAGUGAGGUGAACGACUUCAGAUUUCAUUAUUGGCUUGGAUAUUUGAGGUAAAACUUCCUUUUUGUUUAUAUAGUGCUGACUUUUUUUGUUUGAAAUUGAACAGAUUGGUAACCUAAAUUGUGGCCUCCUGACUUUUUAAGGAAACGUGCAGCCAUUACACACAGCCUAAAGCUGUCAAGAGAUUGACUCAACAUUGCCUUCAUUCCUUAAAAUUAAAACCUACGAAAGUUGGUGUAAAUUUGUUUGUAUAUGUUAUUUACCUGCAGAUCUAAAUGGUAAUCUGAACCCAAAUUUGUGUAAGACUUUUCAGGUGAAAAGACUUGAUUUUUUUGAGAGGAUUGUUGACCAAACACAAUUCUAAUCUCUUCUCUUAUGUAUUUUUGUGCACUAGGCGCAGUUGUGUAGCAGUUGAGUAAUGCUGGUUAGCUGUUAAGGUGGCGUGUUGCAGUGCAGAGUGCUUGGCUGUUUCCUGUUUUCUCCUGAUUGCUCCUGUGUAAAGAUGCCUUGUCGUGCAGAAACAAAUGGCUGUCCAGUUUAUUAAAAUGCCUGACAACUGCACUUCCAGUCACCCGGGCCUUGCAUAUAAAUAACGGAGCAUACAGUGAGCACAUCUAGCUGAUGAUAAAUACACCUUUUUUUUUUUUGUCUCCCCUAAAAAUGAUAAAUUUGAUCAUCUUCAUGUAUGAACUUAAAAUAUGGAAAAUGUUAAGGAAGCAAAUGGUUUGUAAUUUUGUAAGUACUUAUAACAUGGUGUAUCUUUCUGCUCAUGAAGAUUCUGUACUAUGACUUUUGUUUCUGUAGUUUAAUUAAAACGUUUUCUUGGUGUUAGCUUUUCUCAGAA